rnacentral:rRNA from 1 species
CCUACGGGAGGCAGCAGUGGGGAAUAUUCCGCAAUGGGCGAAAGCCUGACGCAGCGACGCCGCGUGAGGGAUGAAGGUCUUCGGAUCGUAAACCUCUGUCAGCAGGGAAGAACGGUCACUGUGCUAAUCAGCAGUGAAUUGACGGUACCUGCAAAGGAAGCACCGGCUAACUCCGUGCCAGCAGCCGCGGUAAUACGUAGGGUGCGAGCGUUAAUCGGAAUUACUGGGCGUAAAGCGCUCGUAGGCGGUAUGUCAAGUCAAGGGUGAAAUCCCCGGGCUCAACGUGGGAACUGCCUUUGAAACUGGCAAACUGGAGUGUGUGAGAGGAUAGUGGAAUUCCAGGUGUAGGAGUGAAAUGCGUAGAUAUCUGGAGGAACAUCAGUGGCGAAGGCGACUAUCUGGCACAUAACUGACGCUGAGGAGCGAAAGCGUGGGUAGCAAACAGGAUUAGAUACCCCGGUAGUC